rnacentral:rRNA from 1 species
UACGAAGGGGGCUAGCGUUGCUCGGAAUCACUGGGCGUAAAGCGCACGUAGGCGGAUUGUUAAGUCAGGGGUGAAAUCCUGGAGCUCAACUCCAGAACUGCCUUUGAUACUGUCGAUCUCGAGUCCGGGAGAGGUGAGUGGAACUGCGAGUGUAGAGGUGAAAUUCGUAGAUAUUCGCAAGAACACCAGUGGCGAAGGCGGGUCACUGGCCCGGUACUGACGCUGAGGUGCGAAAGCGUGGGGAGCAAACAGG